rnacentral:rRNA from 1 species
UACAGAGGUCUCAAGCGUUGUUCGGAUUCACUGGGCGUAAAGGAUGCGUAGGUGGUCGGCUAAGUCACAUGUGAAAUCUCGGGGCUCAACCUCGAAACUGCAUGCGAUACUGGUCGGCUUGAGGGCCGGAGAGGAGACUGGAAUUCACGGUGUAGCAGUGAAAUGCGUAGAUAUCGUGAGGAACGCCAGUGGCGAAAGCGGGUCUCUGGACGGCACCUGACACUGAGGCAUGAAGGCCAGGGGAGCGAACGGG